GACGAACGCUGGCGGCGUGCUUAACACAUGCAAGUCGAACGGAAAGGCCCUGCUUUUGUGGGGUGCUCGAGUGGCGAACGGGUGAGUAACACGUGAGUAACCUGCCCUUGACUUUGGGAUAACUUCAGGAAACUGGGGCUAAUACCGGAUAGGAGCUCCUGCUGCAUGGUGGGGGUUGGAAAGUUUCGGCGGUUGGGGAUGGACUCGCGGCUUAUCAGCUUGUUGGUGGGGUAUUGGCAUACCAAGGCUUUGACGGGUAGCCGGCCUGAGAGGGUGACCGGCCACAUGGGGACUGAGGUACGGCCCAGACGGCUACGGGAGGCAACAGUGGGGAAUAUUGCACAAUGGGCGGAAGCCUGAUGCAGCAACGCCGCGUGCGGGAUGACGGCUUUCGGGUUGUAAACCGCUUUCGCCUGUGACGAAGCGUGAGUGACGGUAAUGGGUAAAGAAGCACCGGCUAACUACGUG
rnacentral:rRNA from 1 species